GUGAAUCAUCGAAUUUUUGAGCGCAAAUUGCACUCUCCUCGGAGAGUAUGCCUGUUUGAGGGUCAGCCUAUAAAAAAUCGACAUCGUUGCUGUUUCGCGGUGGCGUUCGUCUGAAAUUGGGUCAUCUUAAAUCUUUUGGGUUUAAGCGACUUAUAAUUUUCUUUUUGAUUCCAUGAACGUUUUUCUAAUAUUUAUUUCUUUACACGUUUAAGGUAUCGAUUUUUAUUAGACUUUACCAUCAUAUCUGAUUUCGUCUAUAGUCGUUCAUUAACUGACCUCAUACAGGUAAGAGUACCCG
rnacentral:misc_RNA from 1 species